rnacentral:rRNA from 1 species
GACGAACGCUGGCGGCGUGCCUAAUACAUGCAAGUAGAACGCUGAAGGAGGAGCUUGCUUCUCUGGAUGAGUUGCGAACGGGUGAGUAACGCGUAGGUAACCUGCCUGGUAGCGGGGGAUAACUAUUGGAAACGAUAGCUAAUACCGCAUAACAGUAGAUAUCGCAUGAUAUCUACUUGAAAGGUGCAAUUGCAUCACUACCAGAUGGACCUGCGUUGUAUUAGCUAGUUGGUGAGGUAACGGCUCACCAAGGCGACGAUACAUAGCCGACCUGAGAGGGUGAUCGGCCACACUGGGACUGAGACACGGCCCAGACUCCUACGGGAGGCAGCAGUAGGGAAUCUUCGGCAAUGGACGGAAGUCUGACCGAGCAACGCCGCGUGAGUGAAGAAGGGUGUCGGAUCGUAAAGCUCUGUUGUAAGAGAAGAACGAGUGUGAGAGUGGAAAGUUCACACUGUGACGGUAUCUUACCAGAAAGGGACGGCUAACUACGUG